rnacentral:rRNA from 1 species
CUAAGAAUAUUCCGCAAUGGGCGAAAGCCUGACGGAGCGACGCCGCGUGGAUGAUGAAGGCCGUGAGGUUGUAAAAUCCUUUUGUGAGUGAGGAAUAAACGCCGCAGGGAAUGGCGGCGCGGUGACUGUAGCUCACGAAUAAGCACCGGCUAAUUACGUGCCAGCAGCCGCGGUAACACGUAAGGUGCGAGCGUUGUUCGGAAUUAUUGGGCGUAAAGGGCAUGCAGGCGGUCUGGUAAGUUAGGCGUGAAAUCCCGGGGCUUAACCCCGGAACUGCGCUUGAUACUGCUGGACUAGAGUCAGUGAGGGGAGACUAGAAUUCCAGGUGUAGGGGUGAAAUCUGCAGAUAUCUGGAAGAAUACCGGUGGCGAAGGCAGGUCUCUAGCACAUGACUGACGCUCAUAUGCGAAGGUGCGGGGAGCAAACAGG